GAUGAACGCUGGCGGCGUGCCUAAUACAUGCAAGUCGAGCGAACAGACGAGGAGCUUGCUCCUCUGACGUUAGCGGCGGACGGGUGAGUAACACGUGGAUAACCUACCUAUAAGACUGGGAUAACUUCGGGAAACCGGAGCUAAUACCGGAUAAUAUAUUGAACCGCAUGGUUCAAUAGUGAAAGACGGUUUUGCUGUAACUUAUAGAUGGAUCCGCGCCGCAUUAGCUAGUUGGUAAGGUAACGGCUUACCAAGGCAACGAUGCGUAGCCGACCUGAGAGGGUGAUCGGCCACACUGGAACUGAGACACGGUCCAUACUCCUACGGGAGGCAGCAGUAGGGAAUCUUCCGCAAUGGGCGAAAGCCUGACGGAGCAACGCCGCGUGAGUGAUGAAGGUCUUCGGAUCGUAAAACUCUGUUAUUAGGGAAGAACAAAUGUGUAAGUAACUAUGCACGUCUUGACGGUACCUAAUCAGAAAGCCACGGCUAACUACGUG
rnacentral:rRNA from 1 species